GCCGGUGUGAUGGAAUUGGCAGACGUGCCAGACUCAAAAUCUGGUGGUGGCAACACCGUACCGGUUCGACCCCGGUCACCGGCACCA
rnacentral:tRNA from 1 species